rnacentral:rRNA from 1 species
UACGUAGGGUGCAAGCGUUGUCCGGAAUUAUUGGGCGUAAAGAGCUCGUAGGCGGUCUGUCGCGUCUGCUGUGAAAACUCAGGGCUUAACCCUGAGCUUGCAGUGGGUACGGGCAGACUAGAGUGCGGUAGGGGAGACUGGAAUUCCUGGUGUAGCGGUGAAAUGCGCAGAUAUCAGGAGGAACACCGGUGGCGAAGGCGGCAUCCUGGACCAACACUG